rnacentral:misc_RNA from 2 species
AGCAGCCGCGGUAAUUCCGGCUCCAAUAGCGUAUAUUAAAGUUGUUGCAGUUAAAAAGCUCGUAGUUGAAUUUCGGGAUUAAUAUGUUGGUCGUGCCUUGGUACGUACUGGCAUUAUUGAUUCCUACCUUCUGAAGAACCUCGAUGUCAUUAAUUUGGUGUCUUGGGGAAUCAGGACCGUUACUUUGAAAAAUUUAGAGUGUUUAAAGCAGGCUCGCGCUUGAAUACAUUAGCAUGGAAUAAUGAAAUAGGACGUUUGAUUCUAUUUUGUUGGUUUCUAGGAUCGACGUAAUGAUUAAUAGGGAUAGUUGGGGGCAUUAGUAUUCAAUUGUCAGAGGUGAAAUUCUUGGAUUUAUUGAAGACUGACUACUGCGAAAGCAUUUGCCAAGGAUGUUUUCAUUAAUCAAGAACGAAAGUUAGGGGAUCGAAGACGAUCAGAUACCGUCGUAGUCUUAACCAUAAACUAUGCCGACUAGGGAUCGGAUGAUGUUAAUUUUUUAAUGACUCAUUCGGCGCCUUAC